rnacentral:sRNA from 1 species
UGCUGCCUCAUUGUUGUUGCCUGACACAGCUGUGACCUUAGGCUGGUUUCAAAAAAAAAAAGUUGGAAAAAAUAGAAAACUGGAGGAAAAAAACUAGAAAAAAACCAAAACCACGUAGUAACAAUCAGAGACAAAACUCCGAUUUCGAUUCCGUUUGGUCAGUGCUAAUUAUGUGCGGGGAGAGCGAGUGAGAGGGAGAGUUCAAGAGAGUGAGCGAGAGAACUCAUAGAGGUGCCAUAAAAAUCUGUCAAAACUCACCACACCGACCAGACGACUAACUGCGCAGCCGUGCUUUGUUUCGCUUUGCAGAUCAACACAGUACAGAAUAUCCAUCGAUUUGGUAGAAAGAAUAGAAAGUUUAGUCGGCAAUUUAAGGUCUUUAAUUGCAGAUACGGAAAUAUGAUCCUCUAAGGAUGUUUAAUUUAUAAAUUAUAUUCUAAUCCAACCAAAUAUUGGAAAAGGAAUUCAUAUAAUAGAACUAAGGGAGUUCUAUCACCAGGAUUUGUAGUCUCCAUUCAAUUAAAAUUAGAGACUCAAUUUAAGAAUAUAUGUAUAAUAAAUAUGCUCGGAUGUUUCACACAUAGUUCAUCCAUGUUAACCAGUAACCAGCUGGGAAGGUGGAAAUCUGACCAUAAGGAUAUGCUCUUCAAGCUCUGUUACGUGUAACUGUAAUUAAACGAGUCAGCGAUACAUGAUUUUAACGCCUGUCGCGCAGCCCCAGGAAAAAAAGGACGACGGACGAGGAAAAG